AUGUUUGAAACUAGUGAGAUGAAAGUCACAACCCGCACCACUCCUACACAACGUCCUCCGCUCUCAAUGACCUCAAAAUUAUCAAAGUUAAUAAGCAAGCGACCGCAACCCGCCUUUUGCACAAGGGAUAGUUUUGAGCACGACGUGGAUGCUGCCGGCAAAGCGCGCGCGGCUAACGGCGGCGGCGGGGCACUGAUGGUUCUGACGGCGGGGAUGGUGGCUUGGUCCGUCCGUCGGUGUGCGCGGACAUUUGGGUCCUGGCUCGACGGUGUCUCUCGGCGUGCUGCUGCGGUGGUAGGAUGGAAGAAGGGCCAUGGCUAG
rnacentral:rRNA from 1 species